UAAAAUUUGAGCCCAAAAAUAAUUGAGCUCAAUCCUAUAAACCCACUACCCAUUCUUCCUCAUGAACUAGAAGACACAAACCCUAGAGACUAAAAAAAGGGGGAAGCCAUCAACCUUAGCAGAUACAAAAUCCAAGCCAUCGCCUUCUUCUUCACAUCUAGGUCAGACGCCGCCCACCCUCCGACCAACCACCCACACACAACCGUCGUACACCCCACUGUCACCUGCCAUCACUGCCGCCUCAAAGCUGCUUCAUCUACACCUUUAGUAACCAGCAAUAGCGACCACCCUUCUCCCUUAACAAAAUCGGCAGCGGCUGCUGCUUCUUCGAUUACCAAAUUACCGUUGUUGCUUCGUCUUCAACCUCAGCCGCCGGACAACCAUUACCUAUCAGUCCCUCCAUCUCCACGGUCCAAAACACAACCAAUGACCCCCACUCUGAACCACUCGGCUCCAGCAACCAUAUAAACACCAAAAUGACGCCUGAAUUUCUUCUUCUUCGCUCCAAAAAUAGAAGCAACAACGAGUUCGAAUUCGAGUUUUGUUUGUUUCUCCAUUGAAUUUAGUCGAUCGAGUACGAGUUUGUUGUUCUGAGUUCAUCGAGGUCCGUUCGGGGUGGCCUAAUUUGAGGUUCUGAUUUAGAGUCAUCAUUACGUUGUUUCUCGGAUUGAAAUUAGAUGCCGGAGAUCUGUUUGUAGUCUCAAUCUUCAAUGAAUCAAUUGAAAAAUAACUUCAAGUUGCUGUUGAUUGCUGUUGUUACUAUUGAAUUUAUGGCUGAGCUCCAGCUUUAGUUUUUUCAACCUUUUCGAGAAUUUCUCAUUCGUUUUUGUUCCGGAAGUGAGGUUAUCAAUUCAAGGUUUGUUGCGGUCGAGCGUUAAUCCACGUUCCUGCCUCUUUGCUGCUGAUCUCAUUGAUGUUUUGGGGUCAAAAUAGCUUGCUUGUUGUUUCUAUAAUUGCUACUUAUGGAAAAUUGCUAAAGUGCCGAUUCGAAUUUCCGUCCGCAUUUCGUCCAUAUUUUGAUUUCAAAAUGCCUUCACAAUUAAAUUUUCCAGAUUCAUUUGAGGUUAAUUCUCAUUCCUUCUACCUUGUUUUGCUUAACAUCGUGGUUCCGUCAUUUUCUUAGUUUUCGUUGAUGGUAUGAGUUAGCAUUCGAUGACUCUAUCUCGAAUUUUGAGUGCUUUGGCGAUAGUUAUUAUACAUUUUGCUACUGCAUAUUCAUUUGUAUGUUGUUUGGUGAAUCUAUUGGAUUGGUUUGAUGGUUAGAAUGUUUGUUAGUCG
rnacentral:lncRNA from 1 species